ensembl:snoRNA
AACCAUUCGAUAUCUAAGCCUGUGUGUUUGGCUGGGUUUUCAUGACACUGCGUGAGAUUGCCUCCCUCAAACCCUGGUACGAUCUCAGCAUAUUAUGUUUGUGAUG